UACAGAGGGUGCAAGCGUUGUUCGGAAUUAUUGGGCGUAAAGCGCGUGUAGGCGGCCAGACAAGUUGGGUGUGAAAGCCCUCGGCUUAACCGAGGAAGUGCGCCCAAAACUGUUUGGCUUGAGUACCGGAGAGGAUGGUGGAAUUCCCGGUGUAGAGGUGAAAUUCGUAGAGAUCCGGAGGAACACCAGUGGCGAAGGCGACACGCUGGGCCGUACCUGACACUGAUGCGCGACAGCAUGGGGAGCAAACAGG
rnacentral:rRNA from 1 species